rnacentral:rRNA from 1 species
UACGGAGGGGGCUAGCGUUGUUCGGAAAUACUGGGCGUAAAGCGAACGUAGGCGGCUUGGCAAGUCAGGGGUGAAAUCCCAGUGCUCAACACUGGAACUGCCUUUGAAACUGCCAGGCUUGAAUCCUGGAGAGGCGAGUGGAAUUCCGAGUGUAGAGGUGAAAUUCGUAGAUAUUCGGAAGAACACCAGUGGCGAAGGCGACUCGCUGGACAGGUAUUGACGCUGAGGUUCGAAAAGCGUGGGGGAGCAAACAGG